UUCUUCAUCCUCCAUUACCUACAAAUUAAAAAACAAACAUAAUUCAAAAUUUUCUGUCUUUGCUCCUCCGCUGCAUCUCUCAGUUAGAUUCGAAGGCCAAGAUCCAAAUUUCUUCUCUUUUUAGUCCUUCCUCUUUUUACUCUCUUCGAUUCCUCCACGAAUUUUCGGAGCUCUCUCCUACCUCUGAUCGGUCUUCUAUAGCAACGACGGUGGCUGGACUUUGUAGCCGACUGUCGACACGAGGUAUUGUUCCUACGAUGAGCUUAUUCUCUCCUUUUGACUGAAGUUCAUAUGUUUAGAUGUUUUAUUUGGUUGGAUCUGUACUUAUUUAUGUGUACUAGCUUUUUUAUAUUUCUAUUAUGUUGUACUCGUUUUUAUUUGUUUGUACUUUUUUUGUAUUAGUGUUUUUUGUAUUUAUGGAUUGUUUUAUUUUAUGUACUUGCUUAUGUGUACUAGCUUUUUCAAUGUAUUAGCUUUGUCUCUACUUGUUUCUGUAUACUAACUUUGUCCGUGCACUAACUUUGUUUGUACUUGUUUUUGUUUUUUGUGUACUAGCUUUUUCAGUAUACUAGUUUUGUCUUUACUUGUUUAUGUAUUUUAACUUUUUCUCUGUACUAACUUUAUUUGUGCUUGUUUUGUUUACUAGCUUUUUUCAAAACUUGUUUUUCUAUACUAGCCUUUUCAAUAUUUCUACUAUGUUGUACUCGUUUUUAUUUGAUGUUUCUGUGUACUAUAUUUUUUUGUAUACUAGCUUUUCUAGGGUACUAGUUUUGUAUGUACUUGUUUAUGUGUACUAGACUAUUUUUUUCUUGUUUAUAAGUUUUUCUCUUUCCUCAGUUCUUCUCUUUGAAUUUUCAUUACGUUAAAGUUUGUUACAUAUAUUGAACCUCAGAAAUGAUGAGAGUGAAUGAAUUGACUUACAGAAGAAAGAAUAACGAGAGGAGGAGGAGAGAAGACAAGGUAAGAAAAUGACCAAAAACACCUAAGAUAAAGAGCCCUAUGCUCCAUCAGAUGAAAUAGUUAAAUGGACAGUGUAGAUUUUUCCUUACUGGGAACAAAUACUUUAUUUUAUUUGCUGUUUAUCAAGAUUCCUUUUAAGUUGUUAGGUUCUUUUUUGAAUUUUUUGGUUGGUGGAUAUCCGAGAUCUUCUUCAUUCUUCAUCAUCUAACAAAUUAAAAACAAACAUAAUUCAAGUUUUUUCUGUCAUUACUCCUCCGAUGCAUCUCUCCGCUAGAUUCGAUGGCCAAGAUCCAGAUUUUUUCUCUUCUUAAUGCUUCCUCUUUCUACUCUCCUCGACUCCUCCAUGAAUUUUCGGAACUCUCUCCUACCGUUGAUCGGUCUUCUAUAGCAACAACGGUGGCUGGACUUUGUAGCCGAUUAUCGGCACGAGCUAUUGUUCCAACGAUGGGCUUAUUCUCUCCUUUUGACUGAAGUUCAUAUGUUUAGAUGUUUUAUUUGGUUGGAUCUGUACUUAUUUAUGUGCACUAACUUUUUUAUAUUUUUAUUGUGUUGUACUCGUUUUUUUUUGUUUGUACUUGUUUUUCUUGUAUUAGUAUUUUCUAUAUUUAUGGAGUGUUGUACUAGAUUUUGUUUUAUGUAUUUGCUUCUGUGUACUAACUUUUUCAGUGUACUAGCUUUGUUUUUACUUUUUUAUGUAUACUAGCUUUUUCCGUACUCUAAUUUUAUUUGUACUUGUUUUUGUGUAUUAGCUUUAUCUCUACUUGUUUAUGUAUAUUAUUAGCUUUUUUGUGUACUAACUUUGUUUGUACCUAGCUUUUUUCAGUAUUUGUUUCUCUCUAUUAGCUUUUCCAAUAUUUAUAUUAUGUUGUCC
rnacentral:lncRNA from 1 species